rnacentral:rRNA from 1 species
AACGAACGCUGGCGGCAUGCCUAACACAUGCAAGUCGAACGAGACCUUCGGGUCUAGUGGCGCACGGGUGCGUAACGCGUGGGAAUCUGCCCUCUGGUACGGAAUAACUCAGGGAAACUUGAGCUAAUACCGUAUAAUGACUUCGGUCCAAAGAUUUAUCGCCUGAGGAUGAGCCCGCGUAGGAUUAGCUAGUUGGUGAGGUAAAGCUCACCAAGGCGACGAUCCUUAGCUGGUCUGAGAGGAUGAUCAGCCACACUGGGACUGAGACACGGCCCAGACUCCUACGGGAGGCAGCAGCGGGGAAGUAUUGGACAAUGGGCGAAAGCCUGAUCCAGCAAUGCCGCGUGAGUGAUGAAGGCCUUAGGGUUGUAAAGCUCUUUUACCCGGGA